AAGUCAUAAAAGUAAUGAUGU
rnacentral:snRNA from 1 species